GGGGAAUUUUCCGCAAUGGGCGCAAGCCUGACGGAGCAAUACCGCGUGAGGGAGGAAGGCUCUUGGGUCGUAAACCUCUUUUAUCAGGGAAGAACACAAUGACGGUACCUGAUGAAUCAGCAUCGGCUAACUCCGUGCCAGCAGCCGCGGUAAUACGGAGGAUGCAAGCGUUAUCCGGAAUUAUUGGGCGUAAAGCGUCCGCAGGUGGUUUUGAAAGUUUGCUGUCAAAGCGCGAGGCUCAACUUCGUACCGGCGGUGAAAACUUCAAGACUAGAGUUUGGUAGGGGUCACGGGAAUUCCCAGUGUAGCGGUGAAAUGCGUAGAUAUUGGGAAGAACACCAGCGGCGAAAGCGCGUGACUGGGCCUGAACUGACACUCAUGGACGAAAGCUAGGGGAGCGAAAGGGAUUAGAUACCCCUGUAGUCCUAGCCGUAAACGAUGAUAACUAGGUGUUGCCCGUAUCGACCCGGGCAGUGCCGUAGCCAACGCGUUAAGUUAUC
rnacentral:rRNA from 1 species